UUAGCCUGAAAAUCACUAUUAACUUUAACUUCCAUGACAACAGAAUCCAUCCUUCUCUUGAUGCCUAAAGUGCUCUAUUUCACUUUUCUACCUUAUUUUCACUUGGUUACAUCACUUUCUCAAACUUCAUUCAUAUUCAUAGCUACCAGCUAACAUUUUCUCAGCUUUCCUCCGUGUUGCCUUGAAGUAGCCCUGUUUUCACUCAUUUUUUUACUCUGUGUCUUUGAUCUCUCCUACUCCUUACCAACAAGAAUCACCAUGGGGUUUUGAUUCAUUUCUUUGGGAUCCCCGAGUCAUAUUUACUUUUUAAUUUCUGUUUCUCCAUUGUUUCCUUUCAGAUGACAAAAAAUGCUGACACCUACUCUGUAUUUUUUAAAUCUGGGGGAGGAGGUGAAGUGGAUAAGAAGCCACUUGGGACACCUGCACACCCCAUUGGAGUGCCUGGGUUUAAUUCUCAGCUCUAUUUCAACAACUACCUUCCUGUUAAUGUGCGCUAUGUGAGGCAACAGGUGAUGGCUCAAAUACUUGGGUUCCUGCCACCCACAUGUGAGACCUGGGUUUAGUUACUGGCUUUUGACUUUGGCCUAACACAAGCUUGGCUGAUAUGGACAUUUGGGGAGUGACCAGCUAAUGGAAGCUCACUUUCUAGAUCUGACCCUAUCUCUCUGCCUUUCAAAUAAGUAAGUAACAAAACAUAAUAACAUGGCUGGCGCCGUGGCUCACUUGGCUAAUCCUCUGCCUGCAGUGCCGGCACCCCAGGUUCUAGUCCCAGUCAGGGCACCGGAUUCUGUCUCAGUUGCUCCUCUUCCAGUCCAGCUCUCUGCUGUGGCCCAAGUGCUUGGGCCCUGCACCCGCAUGGGAGAUCAGGAGGAAACCCCUGGCUCCUGGCUUCGGAUUGGCACAGUGUGCCCGCUGCAGUGCACCGACCGUAGCGGCCAUUUGGGGGGUGAACCAAUGGAAAGGAAGACUUUCUCUCUCUCACUCUCUCUCUCUCUCUCAUACUGUCUAACUCUGCCUGUCAAAAAAAAAAAAAAAAAAACACACACACACAAAAAAAACACAUAAAUAAAAAAAUAAAUAAAUUUCCCUGAUUCCUACAAAUGCAUUUUUGGUUGUCUCUCCAGUAUCCAGUCCUCUUUUCUUUCAGAGCCCUGGGUUUCUGUUUGAGUGUCUGUGGUUUCUGGGAAGUUAUUCUAUAGACUUGGGUUGGGGUGGAGCACCAGAACCAGUCAAGAUGCUUGAGCACAUGGCUUGCAUGCACAGGAUAAGUAUGUGCCCUAAUCCCACAGAAUCAGAGUGACUCUCAGAGCUUUGCUGAGGUACUAAGACAGAGCCAGGCUCACCUCUUCUGGAAGGUUCUGCAUGCAUAUUUGAGGCCAAGAGUUGUUGUGGCCUCUCUUACUAGUAGGAGGCCAGCCUGUGAUGACAUCACACAUGGAGGAGAACACAGAAAUGGAACCUGUGCUCUGAACAAACGACUCAGCACUUUUACCAGCCUGAGAGAUCUUUUCAUUAUGGGAGCAAAUGAGUUCCUACUGUACUUUAAUCCAUUCUGAAGUGGAUUUGCUGUAUAUUGCCAGAAUUUCCAACUAAUUGUCUGAAUUAAAUCUUUAUCCAGGGUGGAUAUUUGGUGCAGCAGUUAAGACACCAGUUGAGCACCCUCAUCCAUAUCUGAGUUUCUGGAUUCCAGUCCUGGCUUCACUUGAUUCCAGCUUCAUGCAGAUGUAUACCCUGGGUUUUGACCUCAAAUAUGUCUCAAAUAAGCAUAUAGCUGGACAACAUAUGAACCUUGAAGAUGCUUCCUUCCUGUCCAGCUGGGUCCAAUGCAGUCAGUUCUACUCUUCUUUUUGAACCCAUCAAGGACCUUCACAAAUAUCUUUCAUUUUAUGCGCAGAAUCCUCUGAAAUGCAUCAGUAAUUAAAGCAACUUGAAUAGAACACAAAGAUAUUGUCUGUUAUUCUAGGUUACAUGUCACAUACAGCUGAGUUAAGGUUGUCUAAAGAAACUCAUGAGACACAUUCUAUACUACCCAAAAUUUAAAUUUUGAACAAAAUACAUCUCUCCUCCUUUAGUCCCACAAAAAAAUUAAAGUUUCCAAAUACAAACAGCAAUAUCCUCCACUCUUCUCCUGAUUCGCCAAUCCUAGCCAGAUCAGCCACACCCACGUGCCCGGGUGAAAUCUUGCCCUUUCUUCAGCAGGUGCUGCAUGGAGCUGUCUUCUAGAAUGCAUGCAGCUCCUCUGCACCUGCAGAGCCACAGAAUUCCACUUCUGAGUCUCCCAUGUUGCACAGAGACCCAUGGUUCCAGGGCGCUAUCAGGUCUUGCAAGAAAGAGCAAAAACACUUCAAAAUUUAAAAAUAAUAACCAAAGCCUGGGAACAAAUGUGACUGCCGGGAAAGCUUAAAUCUAGGCCUUAAUUCCUGAAUGUAUGAGCACUUUCCAAAUAAGAGCUACUUCCCCAAACAAAACAUUUAGCAGCCAAAAACUUAUACUGAGGUCAUAGAUCUUAGUAUAAACAUAGUGUAGUUGAGUACAGAGCACAGACAGAGGAGAAAAGAAAAAACAAGACUCUCAGGUUUUAGCUUCUCCAGGCUGCCAGCCAAUCUCCACCCCUUAACCAGAAUCCACUGGCUGUGACCACACCAUCCUCACAACAACUCACUUUGCUUCUUGCUGCACCAGCAUCUCUGUCAUCUUUGCCAUCUCCCUAACCUUCUCUGUGCUCUCAGCUCUCAUGGCCACCACACUGCCCUUGGCUGCCUCACUGGGGCUCUGCAGGUGAUUUAGGGCAGUCUCCGCGAAGGCAUCCACCUAUAUCUUAAUUGGAGCAUAUUGUCCAUGUGCCACAGCUUGCUCCAGUUCCACAGGUACGAGUACUGGUGCUCACAGAUAAACAACAUAACAGCCUCCUGCAUCUCAUUGAUGACCGGCAUCAGGAACUGCACCAAAUCUUGCUCAGACUCUAGUACUUCCACUCCUGCAAGUUUUGCCAGUUUAUGAUGUCCAAAGGCCAUAUCUUUUCCCUGAUUUGGAACCAUGAAAUUGAUGUGAGCAGAGAAACAGUGAACCAUGGAAUAAUAUUUUCCAUUGCAUCUUGUUUCCCUUCUUCUUGUGCCUUAGUCUUUACCCCCUUCAGCCAGCUACAUAUUCUGUGUUCAUUGCCUCGGAAUGGUGAUGAUAAACCAAACAUACAAAGACCGAAAGAGAAGUUGAUUCUUGACCUUUGAGGUCCAAAGUCGGGGCAUCACAACAUUGGAAGAGCUCAUGUGGAGAUACUGGACUUCAUGUGCAGUGUGAGGAGGUAGAAAAGGGUACAUUCAUAGCCUGGAUUCUAUGGGAUGGAGGAUGUGAGAGGAGGGAGACUUAGAGGAAAUAUAGCCUUGUGAGAAACAGAGAUGGCUGGAACUGAGACGGUGACCAGGUCUGGAGGGUUCAUGUAGAUAGGGCCAAAUCCAAUCUCUAUAGAGAGUGUGAUCCAUACUUGAUCAUCCUCUUAGAAUGAGAGCUACUUGGCCCAGCAACAGGGAAUUAAGUGAAAGCUCAGUCAGCAGAAAUGAUCAUCAAGUCCUCAUGCCAGUGUGGCAUAUACAUCACCUCAGCUGCCCUCUUCUUCAGUGCUGAGUUCUCUUACUGUGGGGAAAGGGUGUAGAUGGAGGAACUAUAACCUGGUUGGAAGCAGAGGUCAGUGGGAUCUUGGAUGUGGGAGAUGACUGAGUUCUAAACCAAUAGAGAAAAUAGCAAAGAAGUAACAAACAAGAACAGCAGGAUUGUGGUUCUUGCUGGUAAAUCUGGGACUGGCGAUGUAGAAUAAUGGAUAACCCCAGGGGGUUAGAUAGAUGCAGCCUCUCUCCCCAUGGCAAUGCUGGAUAAAGGGCAGGCUCUCCCUCUGAUGUAGGUGAGCUGCCCCAUAUGAUUUUGCUCACCCUAUAAGCAAAUUUGCUGCCAGGAGGAGAAAGGGAGGCGUUAACAUGGAUAUUCUUGGAAUAAUCUUCCUGACUUUUUUGCAGGUAGGAAAUGACUAUAUUGACCUAUAUGAUAAAAACAGGAUGGAGAGCCAAUGAUGUCUCAUUAAUUGUAAGUCUUUUGACAUGAAAGAAAACACCAAGAAUAGGGAAGAGGCUCUCACCUCCCACAGCAGCCAGCACAGCAAAUAUUGCUCAUCUGGCAGAGUGAUAUCCAUUUACACAAGACUUUGCUCAAUACUCAUAACACUGAUUCAAGGAGAUAAUCACCAUCUUAACACCCUGGGACUCUUGGAAUUACCACGAAAGAGACUGUGAGCAUCAACCCCAAGGAAGCAGUGGUGGCUGUAGAUAAAAUUUUAUAAUAUUGUACUUAUGCAUGAAAUUGGUGAAAUAUAUUUCCAUCUCAUGUAUAUUUGUCUUCACUACAGGUGUAUAAUGUUUUUGAUGCAAAAUAAUCAGGUUUAAUUCAUAUCAGAAAGUAGGCACUCAAUAAAUAUUUCUUGAAUUUGUAUUUUAUUAGUGGUAUUUUUACCAAGCAUAUCACCUAUCACCGAUCUAAAUUCCACUUGUUUUAUGAAUUAACCCUAGAUGAUUGUAUAUACUUAUAUAUAGUAUCAUAUAUUCUCUACAUAUAUACGAUUCUAAAUGGCCAUCUAUUACUUAAUGUUGUCAGUAAAUCUUUAAAGCAAUUAAUGUCUUGCAGUGUUAACAAUUACCUCAUUCCCUUAAGUAGUUUAAAUAGUUAGUUAAGGGGGAUUAUAAAUUUACUGGUAUUUCUUCCCUUUCAUGCCCUACAGAUUUAGAAAUUAAACAAUUUACGUGUUCUAAACAUAUAAUUCAAUACUUUACCAACUAAUAAAUCAGUCCUAACUACAUUCACAUUUAUAGUAGAUAAAAGAUUUAUCAACUUAAUAGAAAAGCAUUGUACUUAACUGUCAAAAUUUGUAGGAGGAUUUUAAACUAAUAGUUAUUUUCUUUAUUCCUUCAAGUUGUGUGAGAUCUCAUGUAUACAUUUGAUCUUUUAGUAGACAUUUAUCUGCUGUUGACCACUCAGCACCAGUACUGCCUGCACCCUGAUUGCAUUUAGGAGAACUAAUUUCCUCAUCUAUGUGAUCUUGGGGUGAGUGGCAAAUCUAGGUAUUUGCACUUCCAUUCUGGGCUACAAAGUGUGGGUACCUAGAGGCUGCCUCCAUUGGAUCCUUUUCUGUGUCACUCAAGAACAGUUAAGAGGUGUAUGAUCUUGUCAGUUUCUUCCAACUUUAAGUCUUGUGUGGAAUUAUGCAAGGUUGGGGAAAACUGUGGGAGCUCUUUUACUCCAGUGGCAGCAACUGGACAAGGCAGAAAGCAGUUCCUGCUACAAAGACCAAGGGAUCACCUGAAUGGUUCUAUUUCAAGAGUCUUUUUUCAAUUUGUGACUCCUCCAUAAGCUUUCGAUUAAUCUUUCAAUUUGUGCCUGUGUUUUCUCAGUUUGUGUUGCUUGCUAGUGUUGAACCUUAACUUAACAGCUCGGGAAGAAGCAUCACAAAAUAGAACAAAUCUUGAGCUAAGAGUCAUGGGACAUGUAUUAUAGUUGUGAUCCUGCAAUCAACUUGAUUUAAGACUCCGUUCCAUAGUAUCUUUGGACUUCAGUUUUUUCCAUGUAAGAAGUUAAUAGGCUAGAUUAUCUUCAAGCAUCAGGGUGUAUGCAUUGUGUGUGUGGGGUGUGUGUGUGUGUGUGUGUGUGUGAUUUACUUUUAUUUAUUUGAAAGAGAGAGAGAGAGAGAGAGAGAGAGAGAGAGAGAGAGAGAGAGAAUCU